UAACCACCUCUUUGCAUGCCCAACAAACCCAACGCAUCUAACACCCUUUUCCUUACGUUGCGACCCCGUCGAAACAGCCCGUUUCUUGGGCCUCCCGUUAGAUGACCUCGACGACAACCAAACUAUCACUUACCAUCCAAGCGGGGACUAGAUAACCGUUACAGCAACAACAACAUACGAAUUCACUGUAAGAAUUCAAAGUUAGAAAUCUGAACAACGGAUACUGGUUAUUACGUACAGAAAACGAUACUUUAAAUUUACUAUUUAAUUGUUCCAGUUCUUGAAUCAAAAACUGUCAGAAUGAGUGAUGGGAGAAAGCGACUUAAUGGGGCCGACUACAGAAAAAGAGCAUAAAUUAAAAAAAAGAACAGAAAGAAGUCAUCCGUCAAACUAUUAAAAUUUACAAUUUUUAUUAAAAAAUUAAUGUAAAAUCAGUAUUUUGAGUGCGGAAACUUCAAACAUAAGUCGUAAUACAAUACAAUCUGAAGAAGAUGAGACCGAUACAUAUUCUGCUGUUUGUGACAGUGUGGCAGAAGCGGAAUCAUCUGUAAGUCCAACAAUUGAAGAUUCGUCUCAGAAUCAGUCGUCGAAAUAGUGAGAAAGAUGAUCGCAAGGUACGGCUUUGAUCAAAACAAAUCUUGUGACUUCUCUGAAAGUGAAGGAAUAUAUGCUGAUCAGCGUCGUUUUCUGGCAAUUAGUAUCUUCCACAAAAAAUUAAAAAUAAUGAAGUGAAAGAUCGAAA